rnacentral:rRNA from 1 species
AUUGAACGCUGGCGGCAGGCCUAACACAUGCAAGUCGAACGAGUGGCGGACGGGUGAGUAAUGUCUGGGAAACUGCCUGAUGGAGGGGGAUAACUACUGGCAACGGUAGCUAAUACCGCAUACCAUCAGAUGUGCCCAGAUGGGAUUAGCUUGUUGGUGGGGUAACGGCUCACCAAGGCGCCGAUCCCUAGAGGGUCGGAGAGGAGGACCAGCCAAACUGGAACGGGUGCACGGUCCAGCCUCCUACGUGAGGCAGCAGUGGGGAAUAUGGCACAAUGGGCGCAAGCCUGAUGAAGCCAUGCCGCGUGUAUGAAGAAGGCCUUGGGGUUGUAAAGUACUUUCAGCGGGGAGGCGUUACCCGCAGAAGAAGCACCGGCUAACUCCGUGCCAGCAGCCGCGGUAAUAC